CGGACGGGUGAGUAACGCGUGAGGAUCUGGCCUUAGGACUGGGACAACAUUGGGAAACCGAUGCUAAUACCGGAUGAGCCGAGAGGUAAAAGAUUAAUUGCCUAGGGAUGAACUCGCGUCUGAUUAGCUAGUUGGUGGGGUAAAGGCUUACCAAGGCGACGAUCAGUAGCUGGUCUGAGAGGAUGAUCAGCCACACUGGGACUGAGACACGGCCCAGACUCCUACGGGAGGCAGCAGUGGGGAAUUUUCCGCAAUGGGCGCAAGCCUGACGGAGCAACGCCGCGUGCGGGAGGACGGUUUGUGGACUGUAAACCGCUUUUAAUAGGGAAGAAGUUCUGACGGUACCUAUUGAAUCAGCAUCGGCUAACUCCGUGCUAGCAGCCGCGGUAAUACGGAGGAUGCAAGCGUUAUCCGGAAUUAUUGGGCGUAAAGGGUCCGCAGGUGGCCGAACAAGUCAGCUGUUAAAGACUGGGGCUUAACUCCGGGAGAGCAGAUGAAACUGUUAGGCUAGAGUACGGUAGGGGUAGAGGGAAUUCCUAGUGUAGCGGUGAAAUGCGUAGAUAUUAGGAAGAACACCAGUGGCGAAGGCGCUCUACUGGGCCUGUACUGACACUGAGGGACGAAAGCUAGGGGAGCGAAUGGGAUUAGAUACCCCAGUAGUC
rnacentral:rRNA from 1 species